AUAUACAAUGAGAUGCAAUAUCGCGAGAUGGAGCAAAUCUAUAAAAUAUGUCUCAGUUCGGAUUGCUCUCUGCAACUCGAGAGCAUGAAGCCGGAAUCGCUAGUAAUCGUAGAUCAGCCAUGCUACGGUGAAUACGUUCCCGGGUCUUGUACUCACCGCCCGUCACACCAUGGGAGUUGAUUUCACUCGAAGUCGGAAUGCUAAAUUAGCUACCGCCCACAGUGGAAUCAGCGACUGGGGUGAAGUCGUAACAAGGUAACCGUAGGAGAACCUGCGGUUGGAUCACCUCCUUUCUAGA
rnacentral:rRNA from 1 species